GUCUAUGGCCAUGCCACCUUGAACACGCCUGAUCUCGUCUGAUCUCGGAAGCUAAGCAGAGUCGGGUCUGGUUAGCACUUGGAUGGGAGAAAUGCACAUUCUCGGCA
rnacentral:rRNA from 1 species